rnacentral:rRNA from 1 species
CCUACGGGGGGCAGCAGUGGGGAAUCUUCCGCAAUGGGCGAAAGCCUGACGGAGCAACGCCGCGUGAGUGAAGAAGGUCUUCGGAUCGUAAAGCUCUGUUGUCGGGGACGAAAGGAAAGGGGAGGCAAUGCCCCUUUCAAGACGGUACCCGACGAGGAAGCCACGGCUAACUACGUGCCAGCAGCCGCGGUAAUACGUAGGCGGCAAGCGUUGUCCGGAAUGAUUGGGCGUAAAGGGAGCGCAGGUGGGACGGUAAGUCCGUCUUAAAAGGCAGGGGCUCAGCCCCUGUAAGGGAUGGAAACUAUCGAUCUUGAGUGCCGGAGAGGAAAGCGGAAUUCCCAGUGUAGCGGUGAAAUGCGUAGAUAUUGGGAAGAACACCAGUGGCGAAGGCGGCUUUCUGGACGGCAACUGACACUGAGGCUCGAAAGCCAGGGGAGCGAACGGGAUUAGAUACCCUGGUAGUC